UACACACACACAUACAUACACACACAUGCCUGGCCGGGCUGCUCCCGCUCCAGGGUCCCACCCCACGUGCCCCUCACCCCUACCCGGCUACUCUAGUUCCUGGCUCUGCGCCUUCAUCGUUAAAACUUCGUCACUCGGGGGGCAGGAAGCCGGUGUGCACGCGCACACACACGCACACACACACGCGCGCGCGCUCUGAAAGGCUUUAACAGCAGUGGCACUGUGGCUACCCCCGUCCCUGGCAGCCGUGCAGCCAUAGCCUCACAGCCGUACCACGGUAAAGCGCGCUGGGUAGGCCUGGCCUGGGUCACAGUCCGGCCACGGAGCACUCCUCGCAGGAAUAGGGAGACAAGGGCAAAGGUCGCUGUCAAUUAGAGCAGCCUCAGUGCUGCUCUAGUUUUCACUUGUGCUGCCUGCGGCCCCAGAAGGAAGCUGGAACACAGUCGCAUUCUCAUCAUUGUGAGAAAUGCCUGUCCCCGGAGAACCAGGACAGUCAUGUGUGCGUGAUGUAGAGAUGACUACUGUGCUUUACUGUUCUAGUGGCUGAAGGAGAUCACCACCCUGAAGCAGGACUACCCAGGGAGCAUAGCAUCCACUUGGCACUGGCUCUGCUCAAAACCACCCAAAGGCUUUGAGAAAUAUUUUAAGAAGAAUGGAAGAAGUCCCAGCCCGGGAGAGGAUACUCAGGACACUAAAGGCCUCCCUGAUCCCAAGGGGCUCGCUCCUGGGGGCGCAGGCAGAGACGGUGGCGGCAAGAGAGGAGGGAAGAAGGAGGAUUCCGGGUGGUGGAGGCGCGUGUGGAAGGGAGAGUUCCCCUGGGACGACAAGGACUUUGGCUACCUGGCUGUCAUGGGCACAGGCGUUGCUGUGGGAUUCCUCUAUUUUUUUUGGCGAGAUCCUGGCAAAGAAAUCAACUGGAAGCAUUUUGUGCAUUACUACUUGGCUAGAGGAUUGGUGAGGACGUGUCUGUCUGUGUGAGAGAGACUGGCUCUCGCCUGGCUCAGCAGGCAAGGGUUCCCUUUUGCCCACUCAUUGCUAGCACGCUGGUUGGGUUACCAAGUUGCCUCUGAGCCCUGCUGACUCUAGGCUGGGGGAGACUCCCGCGGAGGGCCCCGGAAAGCAGUGGCUGUUCACGCACAGCUCUUACGCUGGGAGUCAGGGGCAAAACUCUCUUUUGACCAGAGAGAGCCCCAUUCUCAGAGCGUGGGCCCCCCUUCCCCCGCAUUCCUCUCCUGCCAAUUGCCCCAGAGGACUGGGCGUUACGUAUCCCGUGGUGGGCCCCCACACUGGCCCUGGGCUGCUAGCAUAGCCCUUCGCGGUAGAAGCAUAUAAAACUUGUAAGGCCUUGUGUGCCCUGUGCCAGCUGCCUCAACUCCUGGGGCAAGCCCCGGCCUGGCGGAUGUCCUGCAGCAGCUUCCUGUAACUGGAGGGAAGGGGUCUGUGGCAUUAACAGUGCCGUCCCAGCCAGAGCCUCUCCUUUGAUUUUGAUUUUGUUUAUUUUAUGCUGUCUCCAUAAUAUCAGUUUUCAGAGUAGUGGGAGCUGCCAUCCUUAGGUUUCAGAGUUAACGUCUCCUUAGGAAUGGGACAGUUUGUCCCUCCAAUUCGGUGCUUUCUGCAGACACAGGCAGGCAUCCCUGUGUCCAUUUGUGCUUGGCUCUCGUCCAGCAUUUCUCCACAGCUCUGAGCUCUAGAAGGGGGCCUGUGUCUCUGCGCCUAAGUGAGCGAAGAGCCCGGGACUCACUUCUGUGCAUCUCCCGUCUGUUCUUAGUGGGCCGCUGCUCCGGGCUGGCCACAGAGCACAUCAGCGCUGGGCUGUUCUGCGCACCAUAUGGCACCUCACUCUGAGCUGCUGUAUUGUGUGAACUAGGGGUGUUAACUAUGGGUUAUUUUACUAUCUCCAUCGACUAGUCGAUAGGCACGUCCGCAUCCCUCCUCUGAAAUGUCCAGGUGCCCCGCUGGGCCCUCGCUGGGUCUCCUGUACGUUUCGGAGGAGGGAUGUGGAACUCCGCGUACAGCCGGGACCAGCAAAGAUAACGAGCCUUGUGGAUAAGGGAGAAGCGGUAGAUGUCAUAUACCUAGACUUUAGUAAGGCA